rnacentral:rRNA from 1 species
CCUACGGGCGGCAGCAGUGGGGAAUAUUGGACAAUGGGGGGAACCCUGAUCCAGCCAUGCCGCGUGUGUGAAGAAGGCCCUCGGGUUGUAAAGCACUUUCAGUGGGGAAGAUCGUCUGGUGGUUAAUACCCUUCAGGAAAGACAUCACUCACAGAAGAAGCACCGGCUAACUCCGUGCCAGCAGCCGCGGUAAUACGGAGGGUGCGAGCGUUAAUCGGAAUUACUGGGCGUAAAGCGCGCGUAGGUGGCUUGAUAAGCCGGUUGUGAAAGCCCCGGGCUCAACCUGGGAACGGCAUCCGGAACUGUCAGGCUAGAGUGCAGGAGAGGAAGGUAGAAUUCCCAGUGUAGCGGUGAAAUGCGUAGAGAUCGGGAGGAAUACCAGUGGCGAAGGCGGCCUUCUGGACUGACACUGACACUGAGGUGCGAAAGCGUGGGUAGCAAACAGGAUUAGAUACCCCAGUAGUC